GUAUUGUUAUGCUGUCCAGCACAGGCUGGUGUCUAACUCCUGGAUUAAAGCCAUCCUCCCUCCUCAGCUUCUCGAGUAUCUGGGACUACAGAGGUAGACCUCAGAUUGCAGAAGACCAUCAGACCCAAGAGUACAACACACCAGGAUCUGGACUUUCCACUGUUUUUAAAGUUUUCACAGGCUGCAAUCUUCAAACUCUGCCACAAGAAAAACUCCAGAAGUAACUCUGAGGUCUGAUGUUUCACAAGGAAUACCUGUAUACUAUCUACAGGAAGUUGCGCAGGUCCUCCAUUUUCUUGCUUUUUUUGUGUUUUACUUCUUGGAUUACCUCUAAAACUCCGAAUCUCAUCAUCAUCAUUCUUGCUUGGAUUUCGUGACCUGGUCACUGACACACUUCCACAUCUUUCUGCUUUAACGUUCAGCACAAGCUAUAAUCAAUAUGUAUCUAUAUAAAGUCAAUACAUAUCCCUGGCUACGAUGUGAGCUUUUAAGAAAUGGGACUAUGUUCAGGAGAUCAAGACCAUCCUGGCUAACACGGUGAAACCCCAUCUCUACUAAAAGUACAAAAAGAAUUAGCCGGGCAUGAUGGCGGGCACCUGUAGUCCCAGCUACUCGGGAGACUGAGGUAGGAGAAUGGUGUGAACCUGGGAGGCGGAGCUUGCAGUGAGCGGAGAUCACGCCACUGCACUCCAGCCUGGGCAACACAGCGAGACUCCAUCAUCUCAAAAAAAAAAGAAAUGGGACUAUGUUUUUUUCAUCUCUGUAUUCACAGAGCUUAGCAUAAUGUCUAUAAUAUAGCUAUUUAUUAAAUAUCUCAUAUUUAUUGAAUAUUUGCUAAAUGAAUAAGUCAAUCAACCAUGCUAACCAUAAUCACAAUAAGUAAUUUUCACUGUUUGCUUAUUUUCACCAUUCAUUUUAUGAGCGCCAUCUAGAUCUGUGUGCUAUGUAGAUCUGUAUAGGAAAAAUAUGCGUCAGUGAUGGAGAUGCUUCCAGCAUAAAUAUACCAAGAAUUAUUAUAAAAUAUUCUGUUAUUUUUAAUAUCAAAAAUUAAAUUUCCAUGUAAAAGCAUUCCAACACUACAAUAUUAAAAAGAUAUACUGCAUGAAAUUAUAUGAGCACUAAUUUAGGGAAUAUUAUGAGAACACUUAAGAAGCUCAUGAGACCAACAGUGCAAAACUUAUCACUUGAUCAUCAGGAAAUAUGCAUUAAAACUGAUUCAAAUACCCCCAGAUCUAUCAUUAUAUUCAAAAAUUUCACUUUAAGACCUGUUUUCUGAUGCCAGAAAAAUGAAAAUAAAAUUAUACUAUAAGAAUAGAAAGACAAUGCAAUAUGAGUUGGCAAAAGUUUUAUUCCAAAGACUAAAAUAUACUUCCUGGAAAUAAUUCUCACUGAGGAAGACACCCAUCAAAGAAUAAACAUCUAAAAUGUGCCUAUUUACCAUUUUACCCCUAAUAAGACAAUGUUCUUUGCUAAUCUUCACAUUAUCCCACCCGUUCAUAUUUGUAUACACUUUGAAAAUCUAUCUAUGAUGCUAUUAGCUGUGUACUUCAAAACUUAUUUCUGGUAGUCAGAUAUCAGAACAUAUAGUCAGUAAAUUGCCUGCACAAAUCAAAAUGCUUUGCAGUAGCUCUGAACAUCCAAGUUCCUAGAGCACAAUCACUUCCUGAAAUGUCUAUCACCAUCAUCAUCCUCAUCAGCAUCUCAAUUAUCUUUUCAGAAAAAAAAAUGCAUUGAAUUCCAUUAAAUAUGUAUGACUAGAAUUUGCACAAGAAUACAUGGAGAUUAGUUAGUUAUAUGUUGCAUUUUCUCCUUAGGAGUAUGUACUCUAAUUGCAUAGAAAAGUUAGACCAAUAUGUUACCAACUGAUACAUAAAUGAAUGAAGUAGAAAAUAAAUGUGGGCACAAUGUAAAUAUGACAAAUUCAUAUUACAAUCCGUACAUGAUUGUAUAAAACUUUAAGACUAGGCGUGGUGGCUGACACCUGGAAUCCCAACAUUUUGGGAGACCAAGGCAGGAGGACUGCUUGAGUCCAGGAGUUCAAGACCAGCCUGGGCAACAGUGAGACCUCAAUCUUUACAAAAAUAAAAAUUAUCCAGGUAAGGUGGACCUUACCUAUAGUCCCAGCUACUUGGAAUUGCUAGAGCCCAGGAGAUCAAGGCUGCAGUGGGCUAUGAUUUCACCACUGCACUCCAGACUGGGUGACAAAGCGAGAACGAGACCUUUCUCUCUUUCUCUCCAUAGGUGUGUAAACUAAAUAUAUAUAUUUAGUUUCCAAAUAUUAGAAACAAUAGGACCAAAGAGGUAGGGAAGACACAGACAUCAAAAAAACAGUGACACAUAUUAGGAAAUGAAAUUCUCACAAUUAUUCAUAAAUAUCCAACAUACAGAAACCUAAAAAAUGUUUUCAUAGGCUGGGUUAGAUUAUGAUACAGUAACAAUUUAACCUCCAAAUCUUAAUGCACUAAAUUAGCAACAGUGUAUUUCUCAUUCAUUCUACAUAUCCAUUUGGAUUAAGGGAUUGGGGUGGAGGGGAGAAACUGUGCCACAUCUCUUCACUCCAGGAACAAUGCUAACAGAACCUCCACGUCGGGAACUAGUCGCCACAGCAAAGGAAAAGAGGUUCUGACCCAAUUGUACAGGAGCUCUUAAAGCUUCCUCCCAGAUGUGACAUAUAUAUCUUCUUUUCAUGAUUCAUUGACCAGAGCAAGUUACAUGGCUAUGCUUAAUGUAUAGAGAAUGGGAAAUGCCAAACUACCUUGUGUACUGCAUGAAUGAAUAAAUAAUCACACAUUCUCUAAUAUCAAAAUGUCUGGAAAGUUUAAGUAAUUGGCAUAUACAUUAAGUAAAGUGUAUGUAAUAUAUCUUUGUGAUUUUUUUUCUUUCCAGAUAUAUUCGGCACCUUAAGAAUAUUGGCAGAAACACAACAGUCUUAAUGCAGCUUUCCAGGAAUGCUCCAUUUUUCUCUCUUCUCUCUUCCUCUAAGGCAGCUCUAUACAAGUUUAGCAAAAUUAAAUAUAUGUGGAAGUGUUAGUGGAUUCCUUCAAAGUAAUUAGUGGGUUUUGCUUCAUGAGGAGCAGGAAAAGUGAAAGUGUCAUGUAUCAAUUCCAUUGCUCCUGAGUUUAUUUCCUUGAGCUAAACCAAAAUGAAACAAGUGGACAUGGUAAACAGACUACAAAAAAAAAAAAAAAAAAAAAGAAAAACUGUCUAAAAGUUGACUUUGUUCUGAAUUCCUUUAUAAUUGCCUCAGUGUUUUUAUAUAGUUUAAAUACAACAGACACAGUUUAAAAUAGUGCAUUUCAUUUAUUUUCACCAUCUCCCACCUGUUCGUGAAUGGCACUGGGUAAGAAUAAAGAUGGCUAAACUAAGCAUGGAGAUGGGGAAAAGAUAAUGCUUAUGCAAAUGUCUGAAAAAACUUACAUUAUUUUCUGAACAUAGAAGAGGAGGCUUAAGUACUAAAAAUACAUACAACUGCUCCCUUACAUAUUACUAUAGCUGCUUUUAUAAAACUUUGAAGAAUUUGCCUAUCUCAGUUUAUCUUUUCUCAAAACUUCAGAAUCAAAAUCUUUACAUUAUUCCAGAAAUAAAGG
rnacentral:lncRNA from 1 species